UACGAAGGGGGCUAGCGUUGCUCGGAAUCACUGGGCGUAAAGGGUGCGUAGGCGGGGUUUUACGUCAGGGGUGAAAUCCUGGAGCUCAACUCCAGAACUGCCUUUGAUACUGAAGAUCUUGAGUCCGGGAGAGGUGAGUGGAACUGCGAGUGUAGAGGUGAAAUUCGUAGAUAUUCGCAAGAACACCAGUGGCGAAGGCGGCUCACUGGCCCGGUACUGACGCUGAGGCACGAAAGCGUGGGGAGCAAACAGG
rnacentral:rRNA from 1 species